rnacentral:lncRNA from 1 species
CCGGUCCUUCUUCUGGUCCCUCUCAAAGAUUCUUCUUGUCUGGUGACAUUUCCCUGUUGGAUUCCAGAGCCCAGCCCUGUGCCUCUACAUAUGGGCACUCACUGGGAGGGAAGAGCCCGUCCAGUCCAUCUUCAGGUUUAUGGAGAAGACAGACUGGGAAAGGCAAAGACUUCAAUCAAAGAGGAAUCAGUGGGAGUCUGGGCAGUCUUUCCUGAGAAGAUGUGAACACAUGUCUGCUUACCCUGCAUAGGGCACCAACGACAGACCAAAGAGACUGGACCCCACAGCUCUGAGUCUUGUUUGUGGCGACAAUUAUGGGAGUUGCUUUUCAGGCGGAUGGGUGCCUCUGGCACUGACUGCUUCAUGAAAAAGCCCACUGCAGUCUGGGUCAGAUGACUCAUCUAAGGGACAUUUCGAGCUCCCUAUGUUACUUGCAACUUUCUUGUGUGUUCUUAUACCUUUCUUAAGAAUUUCCUGAGGCUCCUUGUCUCCCUCACUCCACAAGCAGGGACUGGUCUGCAGCUGGUGGAGCACACCAGGGGGUUAGUUGUGCGUGGAUGCAGGGAUCUGGGCUGCAGGGUUGCUUGAGACCUGGCAACUGAAGGGGUGUAGAUACAGCUCUGUGGGUGGGUGAGCCUGCCCAGGGAUGGGCUGAAUGAGCCUAGGAGUUAGAAGGCUAGUGGCUAGCACUCAUGGGAGACAAGGAGGAGACCCUAAAAGACAGCCACUCCUUGGAGUGCACGGUUGUGGUGAGAGCAGCUGACUAGAAGGGAGUUUCUAAGAUUUGAUAACUGAUACUUUAACCAAACUUUAACCCCUUGUGUGGGCCAGGUUCUGAGCAACUAGAGAUGAACCAGAAGUCUCUUAGUGAGACAGAUGUGUGAAUUACAGUUAAGCAAAAUGUAUGAACAAGAUUCUAGUACUGUGAUCUCUGACUGACAUACACACAACACCCACUGAGAUUACAGAGGACAGGGACUUACAUUUGUGUAGGAUGUGUGUGUGUGUCCAUGUAUGUGUGCAUAGGAGGGUGCUUUUGUGUGUAUGCACCCCUGUGGAGGCCAGAGGUUGAUAUUAGGUGCCUGUCACUCGGCCACAUGCCGCCAGCUGGACAGGGACCGGAGGCUCUGAAUUCCAGGGCCCUGGGCAUGUUGAGAGCAAGGCUUUCUUCUAGGCCUUUAGUGUCAUCUGGCGCCAGCACACAGCAAAGCUCAUUAAGAUCCUUCACCCAGGCCAGAUGCACACUUUGAGAGCGUGUUAGAGAAAGCUCAGAGUGAAGGGACUUCUGGAGAAGAUGGUGCCCCGGGUGUUGUGAGAAACGGAGAUCCAGUACCAGGAUAAAAAGAGGGGAAUGCAGGCCACCGGGGACUUGGGGGAUCUAGAGCUAUGAAUAAGAGCGGGUAGGAGGAGGUGCUUGGGCAGCAGGAGCAACGCCCACCCCGUCUAAGGAACCUGCCCCCUUCCUUCUCCCUUUCCAAGCUUUGUCUCUUCUUGGGGCCGGGACACAGUGGUCAGGACAGAUGGGUUCUCUUGGCUCACACAAGUUCCAAAGCUCCCCUUCUAGCUCUGGGUGUGUCUAUGUAAUUGCCCCUCGGGUAAAAGGCCUCUCGUGCCCCCUGCUGGCAGCUCCGCUCCAAGCAUCCCUG